CUGGAACUGAGACACGGUCCAGACUCCUACGGGAGGCAGCAGUAGGGAAUAUUGCGCAAUGGGGGAAACCCUGACGCAGCAACGCCGCGUGGAGGAUGACACUUUUCGGAGCGUAAACUCCUUUUCUUAGGGAAGAAUUCUGACGGUACCUAAGGAAUAAGCACCGGCUAACUCCGUGCCAGCAGCCGCGGUAAUACGGAGGGUGCAAGCGUUACUCGGAAUCACUGGGCGUAAAGGGCGCGUAGGCGGAUUAUCAAGUCUCUUGUGAAAUCUAAUGGCUUAACCAUUAAACUGCUUGGGAAACUGAUAGUCUAGAGUGAGGGAGAGGCAGAUGGAAUUGGUGGUGUAGGGGUAAAAUCCGUAGAUAUCACCAAGAAUACCCAUUGCGAAGGCGAUCUGCUGGAACUCAACUGACGCUAAGGCGCGAAAGCGUGGGGAGCAAACAGGAUUAGAUACCCUGGUAGUCCACGCCCUAAACGAUGUACACUAGUUGUUGGGGUGCUAGUCAUCUCAGUAAUGCAGCUAACGCAUUAAGUGUACCGCCUGGGGAGUACGGUCGCAAGAUUAAAACUCAAAGGAAUAGACGGGGACCCGCACAAGCGGUGGAGCAUGUGGUUUAAUUCGAAGAUACGCGAAGAACCUUACCUGGGCUUGAUAUCCUAAGAACCUUUUAGAGAUAAGAGGGUGCUAGCUUGCUAGAACUUAGAGACAGGUGCUGCACGGCUGUCGUCAGCUCGUGUCGUGAGAUGUUGGGUUAAGUCCCGCAACGAGCGCAACCCACGUAUUUAGUUGCUAACGGUUCGGCCGAGCACUCUAAAUAGACUGCCUUCGUAAGGAGGAGGAAGGUGUGGACGACGUCAAGUCAUCAUGGCCCUUAUGCCCAGGGCGACACACGUGCUACAAUGGCAUAUACAAUGAGACGCAAUACCGCGAGGUGGAGCAAAUCUAUAAAAUAUGUCCCAGUUCGGAUUGUUCUCUGCAACUCGAGAGCAUGAAGCCGGAAUCGCUAGUAAUCGUAGAUCAGCCAUGCUACGGUGAAUACGUUCCCGGGUCUUGUACUCACCGCCCGUCACACCAUGGGAGUUGAUUUCACUCGAAGCCGGAAUACUAAACUAGUUACCGUCCACAGUGGAAUCAGCGACUGGGGUGAAGUCGUAACAAGGUAACCGUAGGAGAACCUGCGGUUGGAUCACCUCCUUUCUA
rnacentral:rRNA from 1 species